rnacentral:tRNA from 1 species
GCGUCGGUAAACCGUAACUGAUAGCGGGCGGGGCUGUAAACCCCGUGUUCCUGGAACUCUGAUGGUUCAAGUCCAUCCCGGCGCACCA